AAUCCUGAUGUUUAUUGUCUAUUGAGAAAGAAUUCCUGAACAGGUAGGGAUUUCCUGGGGAAAGAGACAGCAAGAUUGGUGGUCAAUAGUUUUUGACUCUUCUUCCGAUAAGCAUGUAACCUCAGCAAUCUAUAGUGUCUUUAGGGUUUUCACUUCAUGUAGUUAUCUACAAAACCCCGCUGACUCACUGUCUGAUAUUACUGGGCUCUCACAUAGUUGCUUCACCAGCACAUACAGGGGUCUGGGUGAAGUUGGAAGCAGCAGAAUGUAUACUUCUGAAGUGCAUUAUUCACCUUGUGGUCUCAUUUGUGCACAUUCCUUACCUAGGAUUGCUUAUCUCACCAGGACCUCAAAAAUGAGAUGCAUGGAUCCAUAACAGAUUCCUGCUGUGUUAUGCCAGUUGGUCCUCAGGGCUACAUGACCAUCAUACAUGCCUCAUGCCACUGUUAGAAACUUCCCACCUAAAUGCCCAGCACCUUCCUAGCAGGCACUCAAUAAGUGCUGUUGAUUGACUGAUGAAACUACUGGAGAACAGCUGUAGAGCAACAUGAAGUACAUAAUUAUAUGCAGUAAAAUAUCAUUUUUGCAGAAUGGGUUUGGAUCAAUGUCAAAAUGAAUUUUCAGGAAACAUGAAAUUGACAACAUACAUUAAAAAUUUUUUAAAUGUAUCUUGUAUUCAAUUAACUAUUGUGAUGAAAC
rnacentral:lncRNA from 1 species